rnacentral:rRNA from 1 species
UACGUAGGUGACCAGCGUUGUCCGGAUUUACUGGGCGUAAAGAGCGCGCAGGCGGUCGUUCAAGUCGAGUGUGAAAGCCCCCCGGCUCAACUGGGGAGGGUCAUUCGAUACUGAUCGACUGGAAGGCAGGAGAGGGAAGCGGAAUUCCCGGUGUAGUGGUGAAAUGCGUGAGAUAUCGGGAGGGAACACCAGUGGCGAAGGCGGCUUCCUGGCCUGUUCUUGGACGCUGAGGCGCGAAAGCUAGGGGAGCAAACGGG